GUUGACCUCGGAUCAGGUAGGGAUACCCGCUGAACUUAAGCAUAUCAAUAAGCGGAGGAAAAGAAACCAACAGGGAUUGCCCUAGUAACGGCGAGUGAAGCGGCAACAGCUCAAAUUUGAAAUCUGGCGCAAGCCCGAGUUGUAAUUUGUAGAGGAUGCUUCAGGGCAGCGGCCGGUCUAAGUUCCUUGGAACAGGACGUCAUAGAGGGUGAGAAUCCCGUAUGCGACCGGUUGGCACCCGUCACGUAGCUCCUUCGACGAGUCGAGUUGUUUGGGAAUGCAGCUCUAAAUGGGAGGUAAAUUUCUUCUAAAGCUAAAUACCGGCCAGAGACCGAUAGCGCACAAGUAGAGUGAUCGAAAGAUGAAAAGCACUUUGGAAAGAGAGUUAAAAAGCACGUGAAAUUGUUGAAAGGGAAGCGCAUGCCACCAGACUUGUCGGCGGUGUUCCGCCGGUCUUCUGACCGGUCUACUCGCCGCCGACAGGCCAGCAUCAUCUGGGGGCGCCGGAUAAAGGCGCGGGGAAUGUGGCUCCCUCGGGAGUGUUAUAGCCCCGCGCACAAUACGGUGACCCUCGGGUGAGGUCCGCGCUUCGGCUAGGAUGCUGGCGUAAUGGUUGUUUGCGGCCCGUCUUGAAACACGGACCAAGGAGUCUAACAUCUAUGCGAGUGUUCGGGUGUCAAACCCCUACGCGGAAUGAAAGUGAACGGAGGUGGGAACCUUAACCGGUGCACCAUCGACCGAUCCUGAUGUCUUCGGAUGGAUUUGAGUAAGAGCAUAGCUGUUGGGACCCGAAAGAUGGUGAACUAUGCCUGAAUAGGGUGAAGCCAGAGGAAACUCUGGUGGAGGCUCGCAGCGGUUCUGACGUGCAAAUCGAUCGUCAAAUUUGGGUAUAGGGGCGAAAGACUAAUCGAACCAUCUAGUAGCUGGUUCCUG
rnacentral:rRNA from 1 species